rnacentral:rRNA from 1 species
GACAGAGGGUGCAAACGUUGUUCGGAAUUACUGGGCGUAAAGCGCGUGUAGGCGGCAGGGCAUGUCGGAUGUGAAAUCCCGUGGCUCAACCACGGAAGUGCACCCGAAACUGCCCAGCUUGAGUCUCGGAGAGGAAGGCGGAAUGCUUGGUGUAGAGGUGAAAUUCGUAGAUAUCAAGCGGAACACCGGUGGCGAAGGCGGCCUUCUGGACGAUGACUGACGCUGAGACGCGAAAGCAUGGGGAGCGAACAGG